UACGAAGGGGGCUAGCGUUGUUCGGAAUCACUGGGCGUAAAGCGCACGUAGGCGGAUCAAUAAGUCAGAGGUGAAAGCCCGGAGCCUAACUUCGGAAUUGCCUUUGAAACUAUUGAUCUAGAGACUCGGAGAGGAUAGUGGAAUUCCAAAUGUAGGGGUGAAAUCCGUAGAUAUUUGGAGGAACACCAGUGGCGAAGGCGGCUAUCUGGACGAGUACUGACGCUGAGGUGCGAAAGCGUGGGGAGCAAACAGG
rnacentral:rRNA from 1 species